rnacentral:rRNA from 1 species
AACGAACGCUGGCGGCGUGCCUAACACAUGCAAGUCGUGCGAGAAAGUUCCUUCGGGAGCGAGUAAAGCGGCGCACGGGUGAGUAACACGUAGGUAACCUGCCCCCCAGUCUGGAACAACUAGAGGAAACUCUAGCUAAUGCCGGAUGAGACCACGAUCCCUUCGGGGGUUGCGGCCAAAGAUGGCCUCUACUUGUAAGCUAUCGCUGAGGGAUGGGCCUGCGGGCCAUUAGCUUGUUGGUGAGGUAACGGCUCACCAAGGCUGUGAUGGCUAGCUGGUCUGAGAGGAUGACCAGCCACACUGGGACUGAGACACGGCCCAGACUCCUACGGGAGGCAGCAGUGGGGAAUAUUGCGCAAUGGGCGAAAGCCUGACGCAGCGACGCCGCGUGGGUGAUGAAGGCCUCGGUCGUAAGACCUCGUCGCGAGGGGAAGGAA